rnacentral:rRNA from 1 species
GGCCCUUCGGGGUACACGAGCGGCGAACGGGUGAGUAACACGUGGGUGAUCUGCCUCGUACUCUGGGAUAAGCCUGGGAAACUGGGUCUAAUACCGGAUAUGACCACGAAUCGCAUGGUUUGUGGUGGAAAGAUUUAUCGGUGCGAGAUGGGCCCGCGGCCUAUCAGCUUGUUGGUGGGGUAAUGGCCUACCAAGGCGACGACGGGUAGCCGGCCUGAGAGGGCGACCGGCCACACUGGGACUGAGACACGGCCCAGACUCCUACGGGAGGCAGCAGUGGGGAAUAUUGCACAAUGGGCGGAAGCCUGAUGCAGCGACGCCGCGUGAGGGAUGACGGCCUUCGGGUUGUAAACCUCUUUCGACAGGGACGAAGCGCAAGUGACGGUACCUGUAGAAGAAGCACCGGCCAACUACGUGCCAGCAGCCGCGGUAAUACGUAGGGUGCGAGCGUUGUCCGGAAUUACUGGGCGUAAAGAGCUUGUAGGCGGUUCGUCGCGUCGAUCGUGAAAACUUGCAGCUCAACUGCGAGCUUGCGGUCGAUACGGGCGGACUAGAGUACUGCAGGGGAGACUGGAAUUCCUGGUGUAGCGGUGAAAUGCGCAGAUAUCAGGAGGAACACCGGUGGCGAAGGCGGGUCUCUGGGCAGUAACUGACGCUGAGAAGCGAAAGCGUGGGUAGCGAACAGGAUUAGAUACCCUGGUAGUCCACGCCGUAAACGGUGGGCGCUAGGUGUGGGUUUCCUUCCACGGGAUCCGUGCCGUAGCUAACGCAUUAAGCGCCCCGCCUGGGGAGUACGGCCGCAAGGCUAAAACUCAAAGGAAUUGACGGGGGCCCGCACAAGCGGCGGAGCAUGUGGAUUAAUUCGAUGCAACGCGAAGAACCUUACCUGGGUUUGACAUACACCAGAAAGCUGCAGAGAUGUAGCCCCCCUUGUGGUUGGUGUACAGGUGGUGCAUGGCUGUCGUCAGCUCGUGUCGUGAGAUGUUGGGUUAAGUCCCGCAACGAGCGCAACCCUUGUCCUGUGUUGCCAGCGCGUUAUGGCGGGGACUCGCAGGAGACUGCCGGGGUCAACUCGGAGGAAGGUGGGGACGACGUCAAGUCAUCAUGCCCCUUAUGUCCAGGGCUUCACACAUGCUACAAUGGCCGGUACAGAGGGCUGCGAUACCGUGAGGUGGAGCGAAUCCCUUAAAGCCGGUCUCAGUUCGGAUCGGGGUCUGCAACUCGACCCCGUGAAGUUGGAGUCGCUAGUAAUCGCAGAUCAGCAACGCUGCGGUGAAUACGUUCCCGGGCCUUGUACACACCGCCCGUCACGUCAUGAAAGUCGGUAACACCCGAAGCCGGUGGCCUAACCC